rnacentral:pre_miRNA from 1 species
GCUUGACAUCGUGUACUUCGACAUUUCUCUUUGCCUCAAUUAGUUUUAAAGCCCUAGGUCUGAAGACAUCUAUUGCUUUGAAACUAAUUGAGGCAAAGAGAAAUGUCGAAGUACACGAUGUCUAUAG